rnacentral:rRNA from 1 species
GACGAACGCUGGCGGCGUGCUUAACACAUGCAAGUCGAACGCAAAUUCCCUGCUUUUGUGUGGUUCUCGAGUCGCGAACGGGUGAGUAACACGUGAGUAACCUGCCCUUUACUUUGCGAUAACUUCAGGAAACUCGGGCGAAUACCGGAUCUAAUCUCCCGCUGCAUGGUUUGGGGUGUAAAGUUUCGGUGGUUGGGGAUGGACUAUCGGAUUAUCAGCUUGUUGGUGGGGUAGUGGCUUACCAAGGCGUUGACGGGUAGCCGGCCUGCGAGGGUGACAGGGCACAGUGGGACAGAGAUGCGGCCCAGAGUCAUCCGGGGGGCAGGGGUGGGGGAUAUUGCAAGAUGCGCCGAGGCCUGAAGCAGCAACGCCGCGUGCGAGAUGACGGUUUUUGGGGUGUAAAAAGGUUGCGCGUGUAAAGUAGAGUGCGUGACGGUAACGGGUCAAGAAGCCACGGCUAACUACGUG